GAUGAGGCAUGCAAGUCGAACGGAAUAAUGACUUCGGUUGUUAUUUAGUGGCGGAAGGGUUAGUAAUACAUAGAUAAUCUGUCCUCAACUUGGGAAUAACGGUUGGAAACGACCGCUAAUACCGAAUGUGGUAUGUUUAGGCAUCUAAAACAUAUUAAAGAAGGGGAUCUUCGGACCUUUCGGUUAAGGAAGAGUCUAUGGGAUAUCAGCUUGUUGGUGGGGUAAUGGCCUACCAAGGCUUUGACGUCUAGGCGGAUUGAGAGAUUGACCGCCAACACUGGGACUGAGACACUGCCCAGACUUCUACGGAAGGCUGCAGUCGAGAAUCUUUCGCAAUGGACGAAAGUCUGACGAAGCGACGCCGCGUGUGUGAUGAAGGCUCUAGGGUUGUAAAGCACUUUCGCUUGGGAAUAAGAGAAAUUGGCUAAUAUCCAAUUGAUUUGAGCGUACCCAGGUAAA
rnacentral:rRNA from 1 species